rnacentral:lncRNA from 1 species
UGAGGGAGAAAAGGACAAUUUGGGAUCAGAAAUGGGGAUUUUGAGGGAGAAAAGGACAAUUUGAGAUCAAAAAUGGGGAUUUUGAGGGAGAAAAGGGCAAUUCUGUGCUGGAAAGGGGAUCGGGGGUGAGAAAAGUGUAAAUUUGGGGUCAGAAAUGGUAAAUUUGGGGCCAGAAAGGGGAUUUGGGUGAGGAAAGAGGGAAUUUUGGGUGACAAAAUGGUAAUUCUGGGGUGAGAAACAGUGAAUAUUAGGUCAGAAAUGGUAAAUUUGGGGUCAGAAAAGGGCAAUUUGGGGUCAGAAAUGGAGAAUUUGGGGUCAGAAAAGGAGAUUUUUGGGGUUCUGAGGGGGGAAUUGGGUGAGA